GGAUGUCAGGGCGAUCUGGCUAGGACAUCUGUCACCUCACCGAUCACCAGGACUGAUUCGGCUGAUCAGGCUGGCUAGACCGGUGUCCCUUUCCUCCCACACCACUCCAUGUGUAACCCUCCCGAAGCUGUGUGCUUGGUCGGAUAGAGGAGGACCAUUUCCUAGGUCAAGGGUAUACAAGUAGCUGCGCUCCCCUACUAGAACCUCCAAAUAAGCUCUCAAGAAAGUAUUGGACCUAAUCCAGCAAGAAACUAAAAAAACAAGAAAAGCAAAACAUACAAUUAUUGUACCAUUGUCU
ensembl:misc_RNA 7SK 7SK RNA